GCCAAUUAAUAUAUACAUAUAUAUAUAUUCUCUGUUCCGCAUAGUAGCUGUUGACAUUAUAGUUGCACAGGAACUUUGCUGACUCUAGAGAAUCUCGGGCAAAUCGCACAUCCCCGUGGUGACAACUUUGCAUGCGGAUGUCAUCCAUAUCAACUUUCAAUGCCAGUUUCUGCGCCUACCAUGGUGACCACGGGUAACGGGGAAUCAGGGUUCCAUUCCGUACAGGGACCCUGAGAAAUGGCUAACACAUACAAGGAAGGCAGCAGGCAUGCAAAUGAACCACUCCCGAUGCGGGAAGGUAGUGAC
rnacentral:rRNA from 1 species